GAUGAACGCUGACAGAAUGCUUAACACAUGCAAGUCAACUUGAAUUUGGGUUUUUAACUUAGGUUUGGGUGGCGGACGGGUGAGUAACGCGUAAAGAACUUGCCUCACAGCUAGGGACAACAUUUGGAAACGAAUGCUAAUACCUAAUAUUAUGAUAAUAGGGCAUCCUAUAAUUAUGAAAGCUAUAAGCGCUGUGAGAGAGCUUUGCGUCCCAUUAGCUAGUUGGAGAGGUAACGGCUCACCAAGGCGAUGAUGGGUAGCCGGCCUGAGAGGGUGAUCGGCCACAAGGGGACUGAGACACGGCCCUUACUCCUACGGGAGGCAGCAGUGGGGAAUAUUGGACAAUGGACCGAGAGUCUGAUCCAGCAAUUCUGUGUGCACGAUGAAGUUUUUCGGAAUGUAAAGCGCUUUCAGUUGGGAAGAAACAAAUGACGGUACCAACAGAAGAAGUGACGGCUAAAUACGUG
rnacentral:rRNA from 1 species